rnacentral:rRNA from 1 species
UGGGGAAUAUCGCACAAUGGGCGAAAGCCUGAUGCAGCGACGCCGCGUGAGGGAUGACGGCCUUCGGGUUGUAAACCUCUUUCAGCAGGGACGAAGCGCAAGUGACGGUACCUGCAGAAGAAGCACCGGCUAACUACGUGCCAGCAGCCGCGGUAAUACGUAGGGUGCAAGCGUUGUCCGGAAUUACUGGGCGUAAAGAGUUCGUAGGCGGUUUGUCGCGUCGUUUGUGAAAACCAGCAGCUCAACUGCUGGCUUGCAGGCGAUACGGGCAGACUUGAGUACUGCAGGGGAGACUGGAAUUCCUGGUGUAGCGGUGAAAUGCGCAGAUAUCAGGAGGAACACCGGUGGCGAAGGCGGGUCUCUGGGCAGUAACUGACGCUGAGGAACGAAAGCGUGGGUAGCGAACAGG